rnacentral:rRNA from 1 species
UGCGCAGGCGGCUAAGUGUGUCAGGUGUGAAAGCCCGAGGCUUAACCUCGGAAUUGCGCCUGAAACUGCUCGGCUAGAGGACUGGAGAGGGUAGCGGAAUUCACGGUGUAGCAGUGAAAUGCGUAGAUAUCGUGAGGAACACCAGAGGCGAAGGCGGCUACCUGGACAGUACCUGACGCUCAGGCACGAAAGCGUGGGGAGCAAAAGGGAUUAGAUACCCCUGUAGUCCACGCCCUAAACGGUGCACACUAGGUCUUGGCGGAUUCGACCCCUCCAGGGCCCAAGCUAACGCGUUAAGUGUGCCGCCUGAGGACUACGGCCGCAAGGCUAAA